rnacentral:rRNA from 1 species
AGAGUUUGAUCAUGGCUCAGGAUUAACGCUAGCGGCAGGCAUAAUACAUGCAAGUUGAACGGGAUUAGUUGUAGCAAUACGACUAUGAGAGUAGCGCACGGGUGCGUAACGCGUAUGCAACCUGCCUCCGACCGGGGAAUAGCCCCUCGAAAGAGGGAUUAAUACCGCAUAAAAUAGUGGAUAGGCAUCUAUCUACUAUUAAAACUACGGUGGUUGGAGAUGGGCAUGCGUGACAUUAGCUAGUUGGUAGGGUAAUGGCCUACCAAGGCUACGAUGUCUAGGGGGUCUGAGAGGAUGUCCCCCCACACUGGUACUGAGAUACGGACCAGACUCCUACGGGAGGCAGC